UACGUAGGUGACCAGCGUUGUCCGGAUUUACUGGGCGUAAAGAGCGCGCAGGCGGUCGUUCAAGUCGAGUGUGAAAGCCCCCGGCUCAACUGGGGAGGGUCACUCGAUACUGAUCGACUGGAAGGCAGGAGAGGGAAGCGGAAUUCCCGGUGUAGUGGUGAAAUGCGUAGAUAUCGGGAGGAACACCAGUGGCGAAGGCGGCUUCCUGGCCUGUUCUUGACGCUGAGACGCGAAAGCGUGGGGAGCAAACAGG
rnacentral:rRNA from 1 species